rnacentral:miRNA from 1 species
CUGAGCCGCCAGGGAGCAGGACCGGGAGGCCGGCGCGGGAACGCGCCGGCCUCCCGGCUUUUUCCAGGCGGUACGA